rnacentral:tRNA from 2 species
UCCUCUGUAGUUCAGUCGGUAGAACGGCGGACUGUUAAUCCGUACGUCACUGGUUCGAGUCCAGUCAGAGGAGCCA